rnacentral:ncRNA from 1 species
GUAUAAUUCCGAGUCAGCGACCCUAAGGGAAACUAUGGAUCGAUGACCUGGGUUAGGGGAGAAAUCCGCUAGCCUCCCGUGUUUGGAAAGGAAGACUUG